GGCUCAGAUUGAACGCUGGCGGCAUGCCUUACACAUGCAAGUCGAACGGCAGCACGGAGCUUGCUCUGGUGGCGAGUGGCGAACGGGUGAGUAAUAUAUCGGAACGUACCCUGGAGUGGGGGAUAACGUAGCGAAAGUUACGCUAAUACCGCAUACGAUCUAAGGAUGAAAGUGGGGGAUUCGCAAGAACCUCAUGCUCCUGGAGCGGCCGAUAUCUGAUUAGCUAGUUGGUAGGGUAAAAGCCUACCAAGGCAUCGAUCAGUAGCUGGUCUGAGAGGACGACCAGCCACACUGGAACUGAGACACGGUCCAGACUCCUACGGGAGGCAGCAGUGGGGAAUUUUGGACAAUGGGGGCAACCCUGAUCCAGCAAUGCCGCGUGAGUGAAGAAGGCCUUCGGGUUGUAAAGCUCUUUUGUCAGGGAAGAAACGGUGNGAGCUAAUAUCUCNUGCUAAUGACGGUACCUGAAGAAUAAGCACCGGCUAACUACGUGCCAGCAGCCGCGGUAAUACGUAGGGUGCAAGCGUUAAUCGGAAUUACUGGGCGUAAAGCGUGCGCAGGCGGUUUUGUAAGACUGUCGUGAAAUCCCCGGGCUCAACCUGGGAAUGGCGAUGGUGACUGCAAGGCUAGAGUUUGGCAGAGGGGGGUAGAAUUCCACGUGUAGCAGUGAAAUGCGUAGAUAUGUGGAGGAACACCGAUGGCGAAGGCAGCCCCCUGGGUCAAAACUGACGCUCAUGCACGAAAGCGUGGGGAGCAAACAGGAUUAGAUACCCUGGUAGUCCACGCCCUAAACGAUG
rnacentral:rRNA from 1 species